GCCACUGCACAGGUCUCCUUCCCCAGCUCAGGCUUUCCUCAGCCGCACCCGAAGGGGCCGGUCCGUCUGAGGGAAGGCGCUUGACCCAAAGGGCGGCCACCCAGCAGCCCCGCUUCUACGCCUGCCUGCCUUUCGCUGCUCCUGUCGCCGCUGCGCGUGCGCGUGCCAUUCGGAAGGGCAACUGUUCCUGUACAACUCCAAGACUUCAGCAAAAGAAGGCAACAAUGGCAACUGUCCAUGAAAGAGUGGCUGAUUUCCGUCCAGAGCACAAGGGUCUGAUGCUGUGUUUUGCUUUCAGGAAAAAAAAAAGAUUUCUGCAUUGAAAUCUCUGCCUGACAGCCAAGAGAGGAUUUCUGUCGGACCAGACAGCGUGUGCCAAGGGCUGGAACAGCAGGAACUUAGCAGAUGGGCUUCACAGACAACUGGCACCACACCACCGCUCCAUGCCCUAGUAGGCACCAGCCCUUUCGUGGAAGCUAAAUUUUUAAUUCUGAAAUUUAAAAGAACAAGCAAAUGUCCUGGGGGUUUCAAGCUGCUUCUUGAUUGAGAGCGGGCAGACACAGCGGCUGUCAAACCAAAGUAAACAGCGCCUCUUUGCUUGCCUAAUUAAGAGCACCAAUCUUUACCUCUUCAAACCAGUCAGCAGUCUCAAUUUCCCAAGGUCUUCAAGUGCUCUUCUGGUUUUUAAAGGGCUAUUCAUCACGGCCAGCCAAUUUUUUUUUCAUCCCAAGAAGCAAGCAAAAUGGGAAAAGAGCAAAAACAUGGAUGGAGGCUCAGACACAAUGAAACAGCCCACACUCUGGAUGUGCCAGUGUGACUGCAGGACCUGAGUGCAGUCCUGUCAUCCGGAUUUUUUUUUUUCGUCAGCCAGCUGGCUUUUGUUUUUGAAAAGGCUUCUGCUGUCCACGAUCUUGUGUCUUUCACACGGUUGUGUGGCAAGUAAAAAUUCACCAAGUAAAACAUU